CUAGUAAUUGUGUGACAAACGUUCAAAAUUAUUCUUACUAAAAACAAUUGCCGUUAUCAGUAUAAAAUAUUCUGAGCGUCUCAAAAGGGUAUGGAAUUCAAGGUUUCUGUACUACUUUUUGAAGAUGUAAAGCCGGUGGUGUACCUUCAAGCGAAAACUACAUUCAGUGGUAUGAUUGGUUAGCGAAACAAAAUUGCCGUGAAAAAGUAGGACGCGGUGAACUUCCCUUCCUCCAAGCAAUUUCGCCCAGUGGGAGAGCGGGGUUCAGAAAAUAUCAAAAUUUCUGGCUGG